rnacentral:rRNA from 1 species
AGGACGAACGCUUGCGGCGUGCCUAAGAAAUGCAAGUCGAGCGGGGGAAGCAAUUCCCUAGCGGCGAACGGUCGCGUAACACGUAGGCAACCUGCCCAAGAGACCGGGACAACACUUCGAAAGGGGUGCUAAUACCGGAUGCGGCUGCUUCCUCGCAUGGGGAAGCAACUAAAUCAUUUAUGGCUCUUGGAGGGGCCUGCGGCCUAUCAGCUAGAUGGUGGGGUAACGGCCUACCAUGGCGACGACGGGUAGCUGGU